rnacentral:rRNA from 1 species
UGGGGAAUUUUGGACAAUGGGGGCAACCCUGAUCCAGCAAUGCCGCGUGUGUGAAGAAGGCCUUCGGGUUGUAAAGCACUUUUGUCCGGGAAGAAAUCGCACCUGAUAAUACCGGGUGUGGAUGACGGUACCGGACGAAUAAGGACCGGCUAACUACGUGCCAGCAGCCGCGGUAAUACGUAGGGUCCAAGCGUUAAUCGGAAUUACUGGGCGUAAAGCGUGCGCAGGCGGUUGUGCAAGACCGAUGUGAAAUCCCCGGGCUUAAACUGGGAAUUGCAUUGGGGACUGCACGGCUAGAGUGUGUCAGAGGGGGGUAGAAUUCCACGUGUAGCAGUGAAAUGCGUAGAGAUGUGGAGGAAUACCGAUGGCGAAGGCAGCCCCCUGGGAUAACACUGACGCUCAUGCACGAAAGCGUGGGGAGCAAACAGG